ACCUGAUCAGCCAUGCCGCGUGAGUGAAGAAGGCCUUCGGGUUGUAAAGCUCUUUCAGCCGGAACGAAACGGUCACGGCUAAUAUCUGUGACUACUGACGGUACCGGAAGAAGAAGCACCGGCUAACUACGUGCCAGCAGCCGCGGUAAUAGA
rnacentral:rRNA from 1 species